AACGAACGCUGGCGGCAGGCCUAACACAUGCAAGUCGAACGCCCCGCAAGGGGAGUGGCAGACGGGUGAGUAACGCGUGGGAACCUACCCAGUGGUACGGAACAACCCAUGGAAACUUGGGCUAAUACCGUAUACGCCCCUAGGGGGAAAGAUUUAUCGCCAUUGGACGGGCCCGCGUUGGAUUAGCUAGUUGGUGGGGUAAUGGCCUACCAAGGCAACGAUCCAUAGCUGGUCUGAGAGGAUGAUCAGCCACACUGGGACUGAGACACGGCCCAGACUCCUACGGGAGGCAGCAGUGGGGAAUCUUGGACAAUGGGCGCAAGCCUGAUCCAGCCAUGCCGCGUGAGUGAAGAAGGCCCUAGGGUUGUAAAGCUCUUUCGGCGGGGACGAUAAUGACGGUACCCGCAGAAGAAGCCCCGGCUAACUCCGUGCCAGCAGCCGCGGUAACAC
rnacentral:rRNA from 1 species